GUAGGGUGCGAGCGUUAAUCGGAAUUACUGGGCGUAAAGCGUGCGCAGGCGGUUUUGUAAGCCAGAUGUGAAAUCCCCGGGCUUAACCUGGGAAUGGCAUUUGGGACUGCAAGGCUGGAGUUUGGCAGAGGAGACUGGAAUUCCUGUGUAGCAGUGAAAUGCGUAGAUAUCAGGAGGAAUACCGAUGGCGAAGGCAGGUCUCUGGGCUAUAACUGACGCUCAUGCACGAAAGCGUGGGGAGCAAACAGGAUUAGAUACCCUGGUAGUCCACGCCCUAAACGAUGUCGACUGGUUGUUGGGGGUUUGACACUCUCAGUAACGAAGCUAACGCGUGAAGUCGACCGCCUGGGGAGUACGGCCGCAAGGUUA
rnacentral:rRNA from 1 species